UACAGAGGUGGCAAGCGUUGUUCUGAAUUACUGGGCGUAAAGGGCGCGUAGGCGGCCAACUAAGUCGGAUGUGAAAUCCCCAGGCUUAACCUGGGAACUGCAUCCGAUACUGGAUGGCUUGAAUCCGGGAGAGGGAUGCAGAAUUCCAGGUGUAGCGGUGAAAUGCGUAGAUAUCUGGAGGAACACCGGUGGCGAAGGCGGCAUCCUGGACCAACACUGACGCUGAGUGAGCGAAAGCCAGGGGAGCAAACGGG
rnacentral:rRNA from 1 species